CCCCCUUGCAGAGAGAACGUAAUGUGCAACGGUUGUCACUGGGCAUAGGGACGUCACUGCCCACCUAUCCUAGUUAUCGGCAAGAGUAGCUAUGGGGGAGGGGCAGCACUUUAGGCAAUGUUUCCUUUCCUUUUUGGGACUUCUGCAGUGCUGAGGAGGAGUUCCAUGCACCCUUAGCAGUGAAAGGGUUAAGCACUCUCUCAUCACAACAGACUAAUAAAUUCUGUAGGAUUAGGAGGAGUAUUCCACUUCACAGAUGAAUUAAAUAUGAGGAUAUUCAAAACUAGGAGCUAUCCAUCAUUCAGCGCUGAUCAAAUACAUCCAUUGCACUAAGCAUCCAAUUACGGUGAACCCAGCACAGAACCUCACGCGUUCCAAACCUCAGGUGUUUUCCAUUACAGCAGACAUCGUUACCACGGUAACGCAGCUGGCUUCCGUGAUGUGGCUCCAGAGCUCGCGGGACUUGUGGACGUCUGGGCGGAAGUGAGAUACGCGGGCGAGAGGAGACGCUCGAACAGUGAGUAUGCAUCGAGCGGUUGCCAUGGUGACGUGGCUCGCUCCCGCAACGUCACUUCCGGCCCCGCCGAGGCGUCAGUGAGCCGGGCGGAAGUCCUGAGCGGGCGGCCGGAGAGUAACGCUGCAGCAUGUGACUGAAUGGGGUCAGGGGAUUGUUGAAAACAAAUCUUCUAUUAUGGGAAAGUAAUACAGACACGCUUUCCCUUAUGACUAGGAAGCAGAUAAUGAAACGCUACCAAUAAAGAAAUCAGUAUGAAGCCAGAAUAGAGCACUCAGAUAAUGACAUGAUUGUCGCAGUAAUAAUGAGCGUGACACAGGCGACGCUGGAUGCUUUCACCGCAUAUUCCCAUUUAUACCGGAUUUCUAUGUUCUGACUGUUCUGUACAAUCUGCUAUACACACUAUAAUGUACCUACUACUGUCGUUACUAAUACCCCUUUCAUACAUACACCAAAAUACUCUGUAACAAGUCAUUAUUCUAGAUCGCAUUGUACUCUUCCACCCCACCCUGACUCCUCCCUGUUUUUUUCGUAACCCAUUUGUAAAUGUAAUAAUAAUAAUAAUAAUAAUAAUAAAAAAUGA